rnacentral:rRNA from 1 species
GAUGAACGCUGGCGGCGUGCCUAAUACAUGCAAGUCGAGCGAACGGACGAGAAGCUUGCUUCUCUGAUGUUAGCGGCGGACGGGUGAGUAACACGUGGAUAACCUACCUAUAAGACUGGGAUAACUUCGGGAAACCGGAGCUAAUACCGGAUAAUAUUUUGAACCGCAUGGUUCAAAAGUGAAAGACGGUCUUGCUGUCACUUAUAGAUGGAUCCGCGCUGCAUUAGCUAGUUGGUAAGGUAACGGCUUACCAAGGCAACGAUGCAUAGCCGACCUGCGAGGGUACUCGGCCAAACUGGAAUUGGAGCACGAUCCACACCACUACGGGAGGCACCAGUAGGGAAUCUUCCGCGAUGGGCGAAAGCCUGACAUUGCAACACCGCGUGAAUCAUGAUCCUCUUCUGCUCGUAAAACUCUGUUAUCAGGGAAGAACAUAUGUGCAAGUAACUGUGAACAUAAUGACGGUACCUAAACAGAAAGCCACGGCUAACUACGUG